rnacentral:rRNA from 1 species
UAGGGAAUAUUGGACAAUGGGGGCAACCCUGAUCCAGCCAUGCCGCGUGAGUGAAGAAGGCCCUCGGGUUGUAAAGCUCUUUUGUCCGGAAAGAAAAGCAUUCGGUGAAUACCCGGAUGUUCUGACGGUACCGGAAGAAUAAGCACCGGCUAACUUCGUGCCAGCAGCCGCGGUAAUACGAAGGGUGCAAGCGUUACUCGGAAUUACUGGGCGUAAAGCGUGCGUAGGUGGUUGUUUAAGUCUGAUGUGAAAGCCCUGGGCUCAACCUGGGAAUGGCAUUGGAAACUGGGCAGCUAGAGUGCGGUAGAGGGUAGUGCAAUUCCCGGUGUUGCAGUGAAAUGCGUAGAGAUCGGGAGGAACAUCUGUGGCGAAGGCGACUGCCUGGACCAGCACUGACACUGAGGCACGAAAGCGUGGGGAGCAAACA